rnacentral:rRNA from 1 species
CGGGACGGGUGAGUAAUGUCUGGGAAACUGCCUGAUGGAGGGGGAUAACUACUGGAAACGGUAGCUAAUACCGCAUAACGUCGCAAGACCAAAGUGGGGGACCUUCGGGCCUCUUGCCAUCGGAUGUGCCCAGAUGGGAUUAGCUAGUAGGUGGGGUAACGGCUCACCUAGGCGACGAUCCCUAGCUGGUCUGAGAGGAUGACCAGCCACACUGGGACUGAGACACGGUCCAG